UGGUGAUCAGCGAUUGGAGGUUGUUAGGCACUAUGGUGAUCAGCGAUUGGUGGUUGUUAGGAGCUAUGGUGAUCAGCGAUUGGAGGUUGUUAGGAGCUAUGGUGAUCAGCGAUUGGAGGUUGUUAGGAGCUAUGGUGAUCAGCGAUUGGUGGUUGUUAGGAGCUAUGGUGUUCAGCGAUUGGUGGUUGUUAGGAGCUAUGGCGAUCAGCGAUUAGUUGUUAGGCACUAUGGUGAUCAGCGAUUGGAGGUUAAGAACUAUGGUGUCCAGCGAUUGGUUGUUAAGAACUAUGGUGUCCAGCGAUUGGAGGUUGUUAGGAGCUAUGGUGAUCAGCGAUUGGUGGUUGUUAGGCGCUAUGGUGAUCAGCUAUUGGAGGUUGUUAGGAGCUAUGGUGAUCAGCGAUUGGAGCAGCAAUUGGUUGUUAAGAACAUGGCUUGCACAAGAUUAACACUGGUGUUAAAUCAGCCGAACCUGAGGUCUCGUUUAAAUUGUCUUUACACAUAGUUGAGUGUGUAAACUGUGCACGCGCACAUUUCCAUGCACAGAAUGCGAUUUCUCAAGUUAUUCUUGUGUGCGCA
ensembl:lncRNA